rnacentral:rRNA from 1 species
RKKCGCCCUUAGAGUUUGAUCCUGGCUCAGAACGAACGCUGGCGGCGUGCUUAACACAUGCAAGUCGAACGUGAUCCGGAGCUUGCUCCGGUGAAAGUGGCGCACGGGUGAGUAACGCGUGGAUAACCUGCCCUGGUGUCUGGGAUAACAUCUCGAAAGGGGUGCUAAUACCGGAUAAGCCUACGGGAUCUUCGGAUUCUGCAGGAAAAGGAGGCCUCUAUUUAUAAGCUUCCGUAUCAUGAUGGGUCCGCGUACCAUUARCUAGUUGGKGGGGUAAUGGCCUACCAAGGCGACGAUGGUUAGCUGGUCUGAGAGGAUGAUCAGCCACACUGGAACUGAGACACGGUCCAGACUCCUACGGGAGGCAGCAGUGGGGAAUUUUGCGCAAUGGGGGAAACCCUGACGCAGCAACGCCGCGUGAGUGAUGAAGGCUUUCGGGUCGUAAAGCUCUGUCAGAGGGGAAGAAAUGAAACGUGCUAAUAUCACGUUUUCUUGACGGUACCCUCAAAGGAAGCACCGGCUAACUCCGUGCCAGCAGCCGCGGUAAUAC